AUGGGGGACGGCGCGCUGCGGCGGCUGUUCGAGAAGCCGUUGCCGGAGAACCCCACGCUGCUGGAGGUGCUGUCGGCUUGCAACAACCACACCCACCACAAGAAGCUGCUGCCGGCCGUGGACCCGUCGUCCUUCACGGAGAUCUUCGGUGAGCUCCACUUCCACGAGAAGCCCGACGGCGCCGCCGCCCGACACGUCCUGCCACGGGUGCCACUCCCUGAUGCACGCGCUACGGCGGCGUCGUGGCUCGACAUCGCUAGUCAGGCCGAGAAGAGCAAGGACGACUCGUCGCUGGACGCGCUCCUCAGGCCGAAGCCCGCUGGCGCCGCGGCCGCCCCCGGCGGCGUCAGGAGGAGCGCGAGCUUCUGCCUGAAGAAGAGCUCGGCUUCGCUGCUGCUGUGCACAGAGGGGCUCGGGUCCGAGAGCACGGUGGACUCGGACGACAUGGUCAGGGAUGACGGCGCCGACGCGGCCGCCGCCCUCCGAGGGAGGGAGAGGGAGGAAGCAACGCUGAGGGACGCAGCUGCUGCGGCGGAACCAGGGCUGAGGGAGUCCCCGCCGUCGUUCCCGCCGCCGAUACGAUCGAUCGGGCGCGGCGGGAAGCCGUGCGUGUGCUUCCGGACGUUCCGCGCGGAUGGGCGGUUCGUGCUGACGCAGGUGGUGAUCCCCGGGAAGGAGCUGCUGCAGGCGUCCCGCGAGGGCGGCCGGCUCAGGCUCCGGUUCGCCAACCCCGCCGCCGACGACGACGAGCUGGAGUUGGUGGAUCAAGAAGAUGACCGAGAAGACAACAGGACAUGCAUCGACGCCUGCGCUUAG
rnacentral:rRNA from 1 species